rnacentral:hammerhead_ribozyme from 1 species
AUCCAACUGGAGGACGAGUCCCAAAUAGGACGAAAUGCGCGUUAUCCUGGAU